UGGGGAAUAUUGGGCAAUGGGGGAAACCCUGACCCAGCAACGCCGCGUGAAGGAAGAAGGUUUUCGGAUUGUAAACUUCUGUCCUUGGUGAAGAGAAGAAGACGGUAGCCAAGGAGGAAGCCCCGGCUAACUACGUGCCAGCAGCCGCGGUAAUACGUAGGGGGCAAGCGUUGUCCGGAAUGAUUGGGCGUAAAGGGCGCGUAGGCGGCUUUAUAAGUCUGGAGUGAAAGUCCUCUUUUCAAGGGAGGAAUUGCUUUGGAAACUAUAGAGCUUGAGUGCAGGAGAGGUUAUCGGAAUUCCCGGUGUAGCGGUGAAAUGCGUAGAUAUCGGGAGGAACAUCGGUGGCGAAGGCGGGUAACUGGACUGCAACUGACGCUGAGGCGCGAAAGUGUGGGGAGCA
rnacentral:rRNA from 1 species